GCCAGCUGUCUGGGGUGACGAACAUAUAAACCUCACAGCUUUCCAGUACAGAACAACAUCACGGCCGCUGUGUGACAGAGUCUUUUGAGCGUCCUACAUUAGAUAACAGGAUCUUAUUGGUGCCAUCAAGUCCGGAUCAACUGCAGCUGCAAUGUUCCUGGUGGGACCUAUCCUGGUGCCAUCAAGAUGACGUCCAGAAAGAUCGGUGCUCGAGUCUACGCCCUGCCAGAGGACCUGAAACUAAAUAAGUACUCUUGUGUCUUACGGGGUGUAUACGGAAACAUAAAGCAUAGAUGGGCUGGGACUCGCUUUUCAUCGGCAUGGUAGGAAGUAAAUUAAUAUUUGAUUUUGUGUUAAGUGCACAAACUCUUAGUUGAUGGUAAGGCACUUGAGCUUGUUUUGUUGACAUUCCGAGCAAUGUUGUCGGGAGGGGUUUAUAUUAGGACAUUUUGUAAAUGGGGGCUCCUUUUGCACCCAGGGCUUAAGUCCGUUUCUGUGGUGUACAGGCCUGGUGUGUGGCUGGUUUGGUUUCUGUGAUUGUGUCGAUGGCCAGGAUGGUAUUCGGUCAAUUAUUUCAAAUUCUGUUCUUUACAAAGCAGGGUUUUCCCUGGUUCACCAUCUGUUGUCAUUUCUGUUUUAUGUCAUGGUCAGUGAUUGUCGGGGACCUAGACCAUUACAUAAUCUGCCUCGUGUUGUUUUCUUGGGUCCCGAACCAAGAGAACGGCACAGGCCAGAAAGGAGGACAGGUGGCUGAAGAGCCUAUUUAAUACUACUAGUUUAGUUAUUAAUAGUUUUAGAAAAAAAACUUGGCGUCGGCAUAGUCACAGAAACUGAAUCAGCUAUACAUUGGGCUUGUAUAUCACAGAAGCAGACUGAAGCAAUGAGUGCAGAAGUAGCCAUUGGUCUCGAAAAUUCAAGCAAAACAAAGACAGCAUUAUGCCAAAAGCAGCAUUACUUGGGAAUUCAUCAAAGCACACUCAACACCCUGCCACCAAUUAAGAGAAAAUGAUUCCUCUCGCUAUUUCUAUAUAAUUAAUGUUAUAUAUAUAUAUGUUAAAGCUAGAAUUGAAAUUACAAUGACAAAACAAGUGAACUUCCUGCCAUGCCAAUACACGUAACUGAGCUUUCUUUUAGGUAUAGUGUUAGGUACAGUCUUCCCAUAUUUCUGAGUUAGGCUUAACUUUUGUCUCGUCUUUUCUCUCGAGGAUCAUCGUACCGUAAGAAGAAAUGUCUGGACGCGGAAAGGGAGGCGAGGACUGGCGAAGGAAGGUGUCGAACGUGAGCGAACGGGCUUCGCAGUCUUCUAUGACGAGAUUUGCUAGAAGUGCCUGGGCUUGGUAAGCGAGGAAAGGCACCGGGGAAUGGAGGUUUCAAAGUGUCACCGUUACUGCAAGUGCUUCGUGACAACAUCCGGUGCAUCACCAAGCCAGGGCACGAGUCUUUCCCGACAUAGACAAGCAAUGUCUGGACGGUACCGGUACCGUCACCGAAGGCGCUUCAAAACAUCCGCGCAGACAAUAUGGUCCUGGCGGAAGGCGUCUUAGUGUCUCCCCUCGUAGCUGGAUUUUAGCAGCUUCUUGAGAUGACAUUCCAUAACUGGAUAAAUGUCUGGACGC